rnacentral:rRNA from 1 species
GGCUCAGAGUGAACGCUGGCGGUAGGCCUAACACAUGCAAGUCGAACGGCAGCACAGUAAGAGCUUGCUCUUAUGGGUGGCGAGUGGCGGACGGGUGAGGAAUACAUCGGAAUCUACCUUUUCGUGGGGGAUAACGUAGGGAAACUUACGCUAAUACCGCAUACGACCUUCGGGUGAAAGCAGGGGACCUUCGGGCCUUGCGCGGAUAGAUGAGCCGAUGUCGGAUUAGCUAGUUGGCGGGGUAAAGGCCCACCAAGGCGACGAUCCGUAGCUGGUCUGAGAGGAUGAUCAGCCACACUGGAACUGAGACACGGUCCAGACUCCUACGGGAGGCAGCAGUGGGGAAUAUUGGACAAUGGGCGCAAGCCUGAUCCAGCCAUACCGCGUGGGUGAAGAAGGCCUUCGGGUUGUAAAGCCCUUUUGUUGGGAAAGAAAAGCAAUCGAUUAAUACUCGGUUGUUCUGACGGUACCCAAAGAAUAG